UACGUAGGGUGCAAGCGUUGUCCGGAAUUAUUGGGCGUAAAGAGCUCGUAGGCGGUUCGUCGCGUCGGCUGUGAAAACCUGAGGCUCAACCUCAGGCCUGCAGUCGAUACGGGCGGACUUGAGUACUGCAGGGGAGACUGGAAUUCCUGGUGUAGCAGUGAAAUGCGUAGAUAUCGUGAGGAAGGCCAGUGGCGAAGGCGGAUCUCUGGACAGUUCCUGACGCUGAGGCACGAAGGUCAGGGGAGCAAACAGG
rnacentral:rRNA from 1 species